UCAUCAUUCAUUGCGUGGGUC
ensembl:piRNA 21ur-438 ncRNA